UAGUUAAAUAAUUUUGUUUACAUUUUAUGCUUAGAAUUUGUACUUAUGAAGGGAAGGAGAAUUUACUUAUGAUAUAAAUUACAAGCUUAAUUGAUAAAUCUUGAGAAAGCAGUAGAUUGAUUUCUAGAUUGCUACUCCAUGGGAAUUGAAAGAUAAAUAAUUAGGAUCUUAUGGAAUGAUGGUGUGGAUUCCAAUACCUUAGUUAUUUUUCUUAUAAGUUUAAAUCUUAAUUUCAGUUUAUUGUCAUUUCCAUAUUUGUUUUAUGCUUUAUUUAAUUUUCUUUAUCAACAAACAAAUCACCAUUUGAAUCAACUAGGUUGGCAAUGAAAUUAACUUGGGUAUAAUUGGUUUUCUAUCUUUACACGCAAUCCCUUGGGUACGAUCUCGCUCUUACACGCUUAUGCUAUAUUCGAUUCGUGCGCUUGCGAGUUUAUAACUUUUAAAAGAAACCUCUUUUGAGGCACAACAGCUAACUUCAUAUAUUCUUUGCGUUUUGCAACUAGAUGCAAAAGUGUACGCCAAUGUGGAAGUUUCUAGGGCAAUAGAGGAAUAUUCAUCUCAUAGAAACGAACAGAUCAUUAGUGGAGUGGAGUCUACCUUUCUGGAGCAAGUAAUUGGUUUUCAACGGAAAUACAACUUUUUGGUGGAGUUUUAGUACAAGACCAGUUGGAAAUGAAAGCUAAGAUCUUGAAGAUAAGUGUGGAAUUUUUCUAGAAUUUUCGGAGCAGCCAAUGAGAGCAGUCUUUGAAGUUAAGUCAGCAUAAGGUGCAAUCCUGUCAAAACUGUGUUGCUGUGGAAGAAUGAUUAUUUGAAGACUUUUCUAAUUUUCCUCAAGGUGUGCAAUAUAUGGCUGGAAAGAUAAGACAAAGACCUACAAUUUACAUAUUUUUCCUGAAUUUUCUUGGAGGAGGAAUGAUUCCAAACGUGCGUGCAAAGUAACUAACGUGUUAUCCCAAUCAAAGUAGAAAGAUGAGUCAAUUACUUACCCAUUUUGGAUUUAUGUUUUAAUUAGGGUUUUCUUUAUUUUUGGGCUGUUGUAAAAGCCCAACUAGGGUAGGAAUUGAUGUGUGGUGUUUUAUUUAAGCAUGAGAAACAAUUCCUUUGGGAGGACGCAGUGACUAGGAGAAAUUGGAGACCCUGGAAGAGUACCGCAAUUGGCUAAGUUUUAUUGUUUCUUCCUUAUGUUUUUGUUUAUGUCGAAUUCUAUGAUUAUGUGUGUUGGGGUCUUUUUCUGUCGGAAGGCUUGUCCGAGUUUAUUCAUUCUUGGACCAUCAUAAAGUGGUGAAUCAGGCCUUCUUUGCCCAUUUUUCUGAGUUAGCGAGAACUAGGCCCAAAGCAUCCCGAAGGAGAAGCAAGUCCUAGGAGAGCACUUUGUUGUUCUUCCAGCGGCUACAUGUUUUGUGUUGACGUUUUGUAGCUUUGAAAAUGGGUGAAGAUGAUUUGCUGACGUUGAACUGAGGUUAUAUGAGCUUGGCAUAAGAGCUUGGAGUGUGGGAACUAAAGACCCACAAGUUUAGCAAAUGAGAAUGUUUGUGCUUGGCUUGGUGUUUGAUAUGCUUGAGUUUGGGUGUUGAGAAUUUAUUGUUUGAAGCUAUGGCUAUGGUGGUUUGAUUGUUUUGCUGUGAUGGUUGUUGGGAUGCUUAUAGCAAUCAAAUGAAUAGGGUUUCAAAGAGCAUGGCUGAGGAAAGAAAAGCUUAAGACUUUAAAGGCUAUGGUGUUUGUGACUAUGAUUUUAGAGAGAUUUAUGAGUUCUAGAGGUGGGAGGAUGAAGGAGUAGCUUGGGCUUAUGCUUGAGGUGAGGCUUUAUGGAGAAGAUUAAGGAUUUUAAGGAUGAGAAAGUAGGAGACAUGGUUGUGAUGGCUGUUGGGAGCCUGCAGCAGCCAAGAGAAUGGGUCGAUGGUCACUGGAUGCUUGCAGCAGUUAAGAGAAAGGUGAGUGAGUUCUCAUGGUUGUUGAGAGGCUUGCAGCAACCAAGAGGAGUUGGUUUUGCCUGGGCAAUGCCUCCCAAUGUAUAGAAGGUGAAUGCUCUCUUUGGUUUCCAAUAGGUAAAAGGAAGUGUUGGAGCUAGUCUAUUUUCAAUGGGUAAAAGAGAGCAUUAUGAAAUUCUUAUUUCCAGCAGGUAAAGCUAGGCAUUGAAAAAUGACUAUUUCCUAUGGGUAAAAGGAAGUGUUGGAAUUGGCUUGUUUCCAGCUGGUAAUAGGGAGCAUUGGGACAUUCUUAUUUCCAGCAGGUGAAGUCAAGCAUUGGAAAAUGACUCUUUCUUAUGCGUAGAAUGAAGUGCUUGAAGAAUAUCUCAUUUGCUCACCCACAUUGGAGAACUCCAAGUAACGGAUUUGGACGUUGGUGCUCCCAAGUAGCUAGCCCAAAGUCUCCAUUAUCCAAGAGCUUUCGUGGGUCUUGUGGACCUCCGUAUCCUUCCACACCACAAUCCCUCGGGUAAGCCCCGUAAAUCACAUGACUUGGGUUCAUAUGAGCUUGUUAGGUGAUUGGCAUAGGAAAAUGUAUUAGCGUGACAUGGAAUUAUUUGGCAUGUGCUUGGAAUGCUUGGGCAUGUGUUACAGUGACUUGGGUUUUUGUGAUUGAGCUUAGUGACAUAUCGGAAUUUAAAGGAAUAGGUUUUUGGCAUGAUAUGGAUGCUAUUAGAAU